UACGUAGGGGGCGAGCGUUGUCCGGAUUUAUUGGGCGCAAAGAGCGUGUAGGCGGCCAGGUAGGUCUGCUGUGAAAACUCGAGGCUCAACCUCGAGACGUCGGCGGAAACCAUCUGGCUAGAGUCCGGAAGAGGAGAGUGGAAUUCCUGGUGUAGCGGUGAAAUGCGCAGAUAUCAGGAAGAACACCCGUGGCGAAGGCGGCUCUCUGGGACGGUACUGACGCUGAGACGCGAAAGCGUGGGGAGCGAACAGG
rnacentral:rRNA from 1 species